GAGUAGGCCUCCGUUCCCAGUAAGAGGCAGUUUAGAAGUUAAAGCAAUCUGGAGCUUCCACUUCAGAAGGGGCUGCUCCGGAGGCUACAGAAAAACCAGUUUUCAGGAAGUUGCCCUUAGUUUCAGAGGGUGUCUGUUCCACCACGGCUACUUCUGCAGGGUCCUGGCAGCCAGAAGUCCCUGAUGGAGGUGUCAGCAGGGCCAGCCUCUCUCCUGGCUCUGGGGAGCGUCCUUCCGGUCCUUCCUGGUAACUGGCCAUCCGUGGGGUUCCUCAGCUUGUGGCCUGUCCGCACAUGGCCAAUUUUUUCAGAAAGGUAUAGUGCGCCUGGGUGGUUUGGGUGACUUCUCCAGGUUGCACCUUAGCUGACGUGCUGAUGCCUCGGUGGGGCAGGGAGCCCUCGCUGACCAGAAGCAUCUCUCUUGAGCCUGGUACUGGUCUGAGGAAAGAGCAAUCAGGGCUGGUCAGGGGGAAGAUGGUCACUAACAAGCUGCUCAGUGCAACAUUUUUUCUUUCUUUUGUGUGCUAGGGAUGGAACCGAAGUCCUUUUGAAGUAGGACAGAAGAAAUUAGAAGAAAAAACCAGGUAGACAGGACCCUGAAGGAGUGACAGGGAGCCAGGCUGUGGGUCAGAAGGGCCGCCUGUCACUCCUGGAUUCCUGGGAAAUCCGUGACUCUGCCUAUGCAGAGCUAAUCCACCCUAGAACAUAGAAGCAGCAAAGAGAGGACGUUUUAAGAAAUCUAUAGCUUAGGAGACCUUCCAUUCCUAUUUACGGAUCAGAUAACAGACCAUGUCAGCCUCAGGAUCUCAGAGUGACCAGACCCAUGUCACCCACACAGCUUCCCGUGCCCACCCCUCCCUAAGAUUGCUUUGAAGAGGAGCCCUCGGGACCUCUCCCUCUGGAGAUGGCUGCAUCCAACCUGGAGGGCGCAUCUGCUUCCUACACAAGCCUCUCUCCAUGCCCAGGGCUGGCAAGCACUGGAAUUCUUUUCUGUCACAUGAGCCAAGGGCCCCAUUGAGCCUGAGUCAGUUCUCUGCUCUCUCCAGGAACUUCACCCUUCUCCUGGGCCACCUCUUCUCCAGUGACACUUGUACUCACUGAGUACAGGCUGCACGCUAAGUUAUGCUCUGGCCCCCGGCCCAUGUGCUGGGAUCCUGUCUGUGCCUGGCACUGUCCCGGACCUCCCAGAACUGUCUGUGAUGGAGGAUAUAGUCUACAUCUUCACCAGCCAGCAUGGUGGCCCCUAACUAGUUGGUGCCACUCUGGAACUGAAUUUGUAGUUUUCAAAAUUUAAGCAAUUUAGGGGCUGGGGAUAUAGCUCAGUUGGGAGAGUACUUGCCUUGCCUGCGCAAAGCCCUGGGUUCAAUCCACAGCACCACAAAAAAUAACAAUAAAAAAAAUAAAAAUUUAAGCAAUUUAAAUGUAGAGGAAAUAAAGCUGAUACUUUGAUUCAGUGCUCAGAAAACUUCUAUGCCUGUUUGAAAUACCUGGCAAUGCAAACCUGUUUUUUCCCACUGUAAAAUGUAAAAAGAGAUCAAGGAUUUCUGAUGCAAAUUAGCAUCAAGAGGGGGAUGUAAUACGCACUGGAUCCUAAGACUGGGUUUGACAAAAAUGACAUAGAAUACCCCAUUAAUAAUAGUUGAGUUUGAUUACAUGUUAAAACAAAAAUAUUUUUAAUAAAAC
rnacentral:lncRNA from 1 species